AACAAACGCUGGCGGCAUGCCUAACACAUGCAAGUCGAACGAGAUCUUCGGGUCUAGUGGCGCACGGGUGCGUAACGCGUGGGAAUCUGCCCUUUGGUUCGGAAUAACAGUUGGAAACGACUGCUAAUACCGGAUGAUGACGGAAGUCCAAAGAUUUAUCGCCAGAGGAUGAGCCCGCGUAGGAUUAGCUAGUUGGUGUGGUAAAGGCACACCAAGGCGACGAUCCUUAGCUGGUCUGAGAGGAUGAUCAGCCACACUGGGACUGAGACACGGCCCAGACUCCUACGGGAGGCAGCAGUGGGGAAUAUUGGACAAUGGGCGAAAGCCUGAUCCAGCAAUGCCGCGUGAGUGAUGAAGGCCUUAGGGUUGUAAAGCUCUUUUACCCGGGAUGAUAAUGACAGUACCGGGAGAAUAAGCUCCGGCUAACUCCGUGCCAGCAGCCGCCGUAA
rnacentral:rRNA from 1 species